rnacentral:misc_RNA from 1 species
UCCAUUCAUCACUAAAGAUACGCAU